UCCUCGUUUAAGCGAGGCAGUCCAUUUCGAGUGCUCUUCGCUUGCGCGAAGGUGGCAACAAAAUGCAAGGGUUGCGCUCGUUGCGGGACUUAACCCAACAUCUCACGACACGAGCUGACGACAGCCAUGCAGCACCUGUGUAUGCUGGUAUUGCUACCUCGUCACCCUUUCAGGCUUCUACUACAUACAUGUCAAGGCUAGGUAAGGUUCUUCGCGUUGCAUCGAAUUAAGCCACAUACUCCACCGCUUGUGCAGGCCCCCGUCAAUUUCUUUGAGUUUUAGUCUUGCGACCGUACUCCCCAGGCGGCGCACUUAACGUGUUAACUUCGCCACAAACGGGUUCGAAUCCGCUUACAGCAAGUGCGCACCGUUUACAGCUAGGACUA
rnacentral:misc_RNA from 1 species